AUGGACAGUGGAGACGAGUUUUCUUACCAUCACUUCCUUUGUUCAUCGGACGAUUCGUCAUUGGAUGAUGACGAUCUUGUGGUGGUUGCACUGGUCGUUCACAAUCAUAUUCAACGGCAGCUUCCUCGGUACAGGGGGUCAGUCCCUGGCCGUGCUCCCAACCUGAACCGCAACAGGGAGAGAGGCCACACCCUGCUCUAUGCAGAUUACUUUGCCAACACCCCGCUCUUCAGGUCGGAUAAAUUUCGUCGCCGUUUUCGUAUGGCCAGGCAUGUGUUCAAUCGUAUCCGAGAGGGAGUGGUUGCUCAUGACCCAUACUUCGAGUGCAAGACGGAUGCCAUUGGCAAGCUUGGAUUCUCCUCCUACCAGAAAUGCACCGCGGCCAUCCGCAUGCUUGCAUAUGGAAUUCCAGGCGAUCUGGUGGAUGAGUAUGUGCGUAUGAGUGAGACAACAUGUCUAAUGUCAAUGUACAAGUUUUGCCAGGCUGUGAUCGAGGUCUUUGGCCCAGAGUACUUGAGGCAGCCAACUGCCGCUGAUACAGAGAGAUUGUUGGCGACCAACGCAGCUAGCGGCUUUCCAGUCUUCACGAGGCUUGCAGAAGGCCACUCCCCACCUGUCAACUUUGAGAUCAACGGCCACCAUUACAACAAGGGAUACUAUCUAGCAGAUGGUAUAUAUCCUCAGUGGUCAACUUUUGUGAAGACAAUCUCGAAACCCCAAGGUGAGAAGAGAAAGAGAUUUGCCCAAAUGCAAGAGAGUGUUAGAAAGGAUGUGGAACGUGCUUUUGGUGUGCUUCAAUCCCGGUGGGGUAUCGUUCGAAACCCUGCACUGUCAUGGGAUGAAAGGAAGCUUUGGGAGGUGAUGACUGCUUGUGUGAUCAUGCACAACAUGAUCAUCGAGGACAAGCGUGAUGAGAGUAUCUUCGACCAAGGAUUUGAUUAUCAAGGUGAAAAUAUUGAACCCCUGCACUAA
rnacentral:rRNA from 1 species